GAACGCUAGCGGCAGGCCUAACACAUGCAAGUCGGACGGUAACAUGAAGUGCUUGCACUUUGAUGACGAGUGGCGCACGGGUGCGCAACGCGUAUAGAACCUACCCUUUACAGGGGGAUAGCCCAGAGAAAUUUGGAUUAAUACCCCGUAGUACCUAUUAGAGGCAUUUUUAAUAGGUUAUAGUUUUCGAACGGUAAAGGAUGGCUAUGCGUCUUAUUAGCUAGUAGGUAAGGUAACGGCUUACCUAGGCUACGAUAAGUAGGGGCCCUGAGAGGGGGAUCCCCCACACUGGUACUGAGACACGGACCAGACUCCUACGGGAGGCAGCAGUGAGGAAUAUUGGACAAUGGGCGAAGCCUGAUCCAGCCAUGCCGCGUGCAGGAAGACGGCCCUA
rnacentral:rRNA from 1 species